rnacentral:rRNA from 1 species
CAGGACGAACGCUGGCGGCGUGCCUAAUACAUGCAAGUCGAACGGUCUUUCUAUGGAAGCUUGCUUCCACUGAGAAGAUAGUGGCGAACGGGUGAGUAACACGUGGGGUAACCCUGCCCAUAAGAGGGGGAUAACAUCCGGAAACGGGUGCUAAUACCGCAUAGUUUUCUUGAUCGCAUGAUCGGGAAAGGAAAGACGGCCUUUGUGCUGUCGCUUAUGGAUGGACCCGCGGCGUAUUAGUUAGUUGGUGAGGUAACGGCUCACCAAGACGAUGAUACGUAGCCGACCUGAGAGGGUGAUCGGCCACAUUGGGACUGAGACACGGCCCAAACUCCUACGGGAGGCAGCAGUAGGGAAUCUUCCGCAAUGGACGAAAGUCUGACGGAGCAACGCCGCGUGAGUGAAGAAAAGGUUUUCGGAUCGUAAAACUCUGUUGUCAGAGAAGAACAAGUUGGAGAGUAACUGCUCCAGCCUUGACGGUAUCUGACCAGAAAGCCACGGCUAACUACGUGCCAGCCGCGGC